rnacentral:rRNA from 1 species
GAUGAACGCUGGCGGCGUGUCUAAUACAUGCAAGUCGAGCGAACGGACGAGAAGCUUGCUUCUCUGAUGUUAGCGGCGGACGGGUGAGUAACACGUGGAUAACCUACCUAUAAGACUGGGAUAACUUCGGGAAACCGGAGCUAAUACCGGAUGAUAUUUUGAACCGCAUGGUUCAAAAGUGAAAGACGGUCUUGCUGUCACUUAUAGAUGGAUCCGCGCUGCAUUAGCUAGUUGGUAAGGUAACGGCUUACCAAGGCAACGAUGCAUAGCCGACCUGAGAGGGUGAUCGGCCACACUGGAACUGGGACACGGUCCAGACACCUACGGGAGGCAGCAGUAGGGAAUCUUCCGCAAUGGGCGAAAGCCUGGCGGAGCAACGCCGCGUGAGUGAUGAAGGUCUUCGGAUCGUAAAACUCUGUUAUUAGGGAAGAACAAAUGUGUAAGUAACUGUGCACAUCUUGACGGUACCUAAUCAGAAAGCCACGGCUAACUACGUG